AGCGGGAAACUAGCCUCAAGAUGAGAUCUCACUGGAACCUUGAGUUCCCUGAAGGGCCGUCGAAGACUACGACGUUGAUAGGUUGGGUGUGUAAGCGCUGUGAGGCGUUGAGCUAACCAAUACUAAUUGCCCGUGAGGCUUGACCAUAUAACACCCAAGCAAUU
rnacentral:rRNA from 1 species